GUUGGAGACUCAGACGUUGUUGGUUUAGCACGUCGCUGGACUCCUCGAAGGUGCCACUUCUCAACCCUCUGCAGUCCCGUCCUGGUUUCAGUCUUCAGCAGCAGUUUUAGGACUGGCCUCAGAUGAAAAGUUCAGCUGACGAUCAAAACUUCUGAGCGAAAACUUACAAGCACCUGGCUGUGAACGAUAUUAUCUCCUGAAGAUAGGUGAGAACAUCGGAAAGUAGACCACUUUCCUCAAGAGGUCCAUGCUCAGCAGGAUUGCAAAGCCAACUGCAAGAAUGAACAUGCUUCUGAAGUGGUGUGACCAACAAUUGUUACUUUAAGGCUGUUGUCCCUCUCAGGACUGUGCCAUGUGACCGACCGCUCCACUGUCUGCUUCCGUGUUUGCGGAAAGGUGUGUGAAGUGCUCUUGGAUGAGCCACACCACACUUUGUUUGAAUCCUCCAUGACACCGGUCCCAUCAGUACACUCAGUGAUGGACUUUGGCAGAAGUUAAGAACACACUGAGCUCACAUUACAGGAACAGACUGUGCCUGGUGGUCACACCCUGGCUCCUGGUGUUGGUCGGGAUGUGUGAAAUGCUCAGAGACAACAAACCAAUGGCUUUGGCUG